rnacentral:rRNA from 1 species
UACGAAGGGGGCUAGCGUUGUUCGGAAUUACUGGGCGUAAAGCGCGCGCAGGCGGUCUUCCAAGUCAGUGGUGAAAGCCCGGAGCUCAACUCCGGAACUGCCAUUGAAACUGUUAGACUUGAGGAUGAGAGAGGUGAGUGGAAUUCCCAGUGUAGAGGUGAAAUUCGUAGAUAUUGGGAGGAACACCGGUGGCGAAGGCGACCACCUGGACGAAGAUUGACGCUGAGGCGCGAAAGCGUGGGGAGCAAACAGG